rnacentral:rRNA from 1 species
GAGUUUGAUCCUGGCUCAGGAUGAANGCUGGCGGCGUGCUUAACACAUGCAAGUCGAACGGAGUUGUCAUUUCAGAAGCAAUUAGCUUGCUGAGAGUGGAAGAGAGGAUAACUUAGUGGCGGACGGGUGAGUAACGCGUGGGGAACCUGCCCUGCACCGGGGGAUAACACCUGGAAACAGGUGCUAAUACCGCAUAAGCGCACGAGGCCGCAUGGCCAGGUGUGAAAAACUAAGGUGGUGCAGGAUGGACCCGCGUCUGAUUAGCUUGUUGGUAGGGUAACGGCCUACCAAGGCGACGAUCAGUAGCCGGCCUGAGAGGGCGGACGGCCUCAUUGGGACUGAGACACGGCCCAAACUCCUACGGGAGGCAGCAGUGGGGAAUAUUGGGCAAUGGACGCAAGUCUGACCCAGCAACGCCGCGUGAAGGAAGAAGGCUUUCGGGUUGUAAACUUCUUUUAAGGGGGAAGAGCAGAAGACGGUACCCCUUGAAUAAGCCACGGCUAACUACGUGCCAGCAGCCGCGGUAAUACGUAGGUGGCAAGCGUUGUCCGGAUUUACUGGGUGUAAAGGGCGUGCAGCCGGGCCGACAAGUCAGAUGUGAAAUCCGCGGGCUUAACCCGCGAACUGCAUUUGAAACUAUUGGUCUUGAGUACCGGAGAGG